rnacentral:lncRNA from 1 species
UUUUUCUUUUUCUUUUUGGUAGAGACAGGGUCUUGCUAUGUCAUGUAAGUUGGUCUCAAACUCCUAGCCUCAAGCUAUCCUCCCACCUCGGCCUCCCAAAGUGCUGAGAUUACAAGCAUAAGCCACUGCACCCGGCCUACAAACAUAUUUUUAUUAUAUAUUUGACUUCAUGGAUGAUGGCUGAGGAGAUUCUGGAUUCUGUCAUCUUCCUCUGAAAAGUGUUGAGUUUUGUUCUAAUAGGAAGUUGAAUUAUUGGAGGAUUGUAAUUACUAGCCACAAAACCAGAGGUGGUUUUAGGUUUUAAGCUUUGAUUGAAUUACUGGCGGGUUAUCAUCUGUGGUAAUUUUAGGCCUGUUUUAAGUGUGCCCUUCGUCCCGAGAUGUGGUCCGUAUAGGCUUUCAAUGGAACAUCUGAACUGUUUAUCAAGCCCCUUUAACUUUAGAGGCUUGCACUUCUCAGUUUGUCUCCCCAGUGCCAGGCAGCAGCUGACAUACCUGCUUUAAGCCUUUCAGCUGUUGUUUUCCCUGGGCCGCGUGGAGUCAUCUCCAAGCAUGUGAGGGUCAGCGGUCAGUCAUGGACCUGAGGGAAAUUUAUAUGUCUACUAUAGGGCUCUCCCUCUUUGACUCCUUUCUUUCUGAGAUUUCCCCUAAUUUUCAGCUGCUCUGGGAUCCAAGCUCUAGUCUCUGAUGCCUCAACUGAAUAAGACUGCUGCUUUCUGCCUGAGUUCUAUCUCUCAUAUGCUGCACACCUGGGGGAGGUUUCAGAGGAGAAAAGCUAACUGCUACAGCCCUUUGUCAGUGCAGUUUUCUUCUGAGGUUCAUAUCCCCUCCAGUCUCUACUUGCUUUCUUCACUUUCCUCUGGAAUAUAUUCUACAUCAUAAGCGGCUGCAAAUCAAAUUCACAUUAAAGAUUCCCCAAACUCGCCCUUAGCCACAUUAAGUCCUCCAUGGAACUUAUGCUGCCUGGAGUCACGGUGUGGCCUGGUGGUAAAUAACAGCCUAGGGAAAGUAAAGGUCGUUGGGAUGGGCUGACAAGCUAGGAUGGAAGGCCUGGGAGGUGACCUAAUUGCAUGCCAACUUACAUGGAUAAACCCAAAAUCAGACAGAAAGAGCAAUCAGAACAGUAGGAGAUUACAGCAAGAGACGCUGCAGCCUUCCAAAGCUCUCAACUAUAAAUAUUUCAAGGCCAAGUCAUCCCAAACAAGCAUCUGUGGCGGUUCUAAUGUCUCUGACAGGUGAUGCCCCAAGGCUCAGAGGCAAGAACGUGUGUUCGAGGCAAAAUGAUAUUGGAAACCAGUUACAGCCAAGAAGGUGAAAUUGUGUUCUACUUUCCUUUAGAAUCUAUGGGAUCUCUUAGAUGUUUCCUGUAAGUGUCAGAUUUUGAUGUCCCAUGUGAAGUUGCCAAAUUGAAAUUCAUGGCAGCAGCAAGGUAGGUGUUUAAUAAAUGCUUUUCGAGUAUAGAGAAACUUGUGAAGCUUUAUGAAGAGGAAAGAAAAGUGGGCAGAAAAUAAAACUUUUGACCAAGUCUGGCCAUUACAUAAAGUACCUGAGUAUCAACAUUUACUUUCUCUAUGGAAGAAAGUGAAAAUUUGGCUUAGUUGUUGAGUUAGCUAAGACCAAAAUGAUAAAUACUAUAAUUUAUGUUCCAAGCAAGGAGGAAAAGUGGACAUGAAGUAGGAGGAAAAGGUUUCACUUUGUUUUUAGGUUAGAAUGCCAUCAUAUCACCCAUCGUAAGUCAAUUACUCCUUGUUCCCCCUCGGAACCUACGAGUUUGUCUCAUCGGCACAAAGAUUGUCAUCUUUGUCUUUCCAUGUACUUAUAUAUGAUUGCAGGGUUGGUUGGAGUUGAAAACAGAUGAAAAGAGAUCCAUAAAAUACAAUUAUUACAAGACAAAAUAAUGCAAGAGGUAGUGGUAGCAACAUCCACUCUGUGAUGUAAUAACCUUGGUCAUGAUGUCACAGAGGCCUCAUGCAAACGUAUACAUUUACAGUCGUGAGCUAGGACAAAUUUCAGGCCCACCUGAGUCAAAGGCUGAUCAAAGAUACUAAUACCCACUCUCCAACCUUCCCAGCUGAGGAGUGGUUUACCAGGUACUUGAAGAAGCUGCGUUGCACCUCACCGGGCUGUUUGAGUUCUUGUAACGAUGUUUGAGUUCAGGUAGUGGGUGAGGUAAAAUAACUUAGCAGAAUUUUCAAGGAUGGAAACGAAUUUAAUAUCAUUACUUCCUUUGAUCUUUUCUCCUGUAUUAUAUAACUUUGAAUUUCAGGGCAUUUCAUAUAGAUUUAUGGAGGAAAAGUUAUUAAAAUAAAUUCUUUUAGAAAACGACCCUUUCAAUGUUUGAGACAAUUUUUUAUCCAAAUAAUAUUGUAUUCGAUGAGAGACUCCAAUAUUUAACUUUUCUUGCCUAGCUCACAUAAAUAUGAUCAGACUGUCAAUCCUAACUCAUAAAAUCUCUGAUCUCCUAGGUAACGCUAAGAUGAGGAGAGAAGCAAAAGAGCUGCUUUUGAAUCUGAAGAUGGAAGCGGCAAAUCCCAUGGGGAUCCUGAAUGAGGAGAGGAGGCCCGGCCUAAUAGCUUCCAAAGGGGCGACUGAGUAUCCACAGCUGGGAGACUGGUGAGAGCGGCAUUUCCUUCCACCGAGUCUAUGACACAGAAGCAAAUCGAGUGACUUAUUCUCAACAAUUUCAGGUAAAUGGUUCUUUCCAAGGAUACAGGUUCCUUUGAGAAAGAUUCAAAGACCAAAGUGACUCUGAUCCCACUUGCAUCAUGUAAUGAGCUCUUCAGGGACACAGGUGUUCACCACACAUUUCCCCGUCAAUAUAACUCAAGGGUUCAGGGUAGAGUUGCUACAUCCACCAUGUCAUUCUUCAGCUGGCGGAGGGUAACAGGGACUAUUCAGCACAGUCUUGAUCUCAGGAGUUUACAGCCCAGCUGGGAAGCCAGCUUCCAGCACACACACACACAAAUGCACAAACUGGAGGAUGAUUGAAGAAAUCAAGCUAUAUCCCUAAACAUUUAUGUAUGUAUGCAUACAUCCAUGUGUAUACAUGUACGUAAAUAUGGGUAUGCAUGCGUCUAUGUGUGUGUGCAUAUGUACAAACAUAUGCAUAUGUAAGCAUAUAGGUGUAUAUGUGUAAUGGACUGAAUGCCCUCCUCCCC